rnacentral:misc_RNA from 1 species
AUUGUUGUCUGUUCUACAUUGACUUAAAAAUCAGUGAACUUUUCAAUACAGAUCAAGGUGUGGAGACCCCUUUUCAUCAACAAAGCAACAAGACAAAAAAUUAUGAGAUUUACACCUUUUGCUCCCUUCCUCUUCUAGGAUCUAUACAUAAAAGGGGGAUGGAGGCUCCUUUAGUAGUAUACAUGUACUCUGAUUCUAGUCAAGUUAAUAGGAAGUUGGUUAGAAAUAAGUGCCCAUACAGCCAAACCUGCGAUCACCAUUGAUCAAGAAUCAUAAAAAUCCAAGGAAACCAUCAUCCAUCAUCCAUCAUCACCAGCAGAUGNNNNNAUUGCUGGCAGUGCUCAACCCAAUAAAACUCUACAAUUUAUAUUUUGCCUGGUUUACAGGAGGCAAGAGAGAUCCGGUUAUGAGUCUGAGAUAGGUUUGGCUUUGAAGAACUUGGCAACUGCCUGGUAGAGAUUUUCUUCCUCAAAAGGCUUUGACACGUAUCCAUCCAUCCCGCAUUUUAGGCACUCAUCAUAUGUGGCAUGUAUCACGUCAGCAGUCAUGGCUAAAAUUGGCACAUGCCACUCACCCUUUUUAGCAGUUCCUUCUUCCACCAUGGAUUGACCAUUUAUCUGGUCAUUUGCCACGCUCUCCAUCUGCCGGAUACGGCGAGUUGCCUCAAACCCAUCCAUUUCUGGCAUUUGAAUAUCCAUGAAGCAUGCAUCAAAACUGUGUGGUAGUUGAAGCAAUUUUAGCGCUGUUUUGCCACUGUCGGCACACUCCACAUUAGCUCCAAACUUCUUCAGUGCACCUGCAGCAACUCUACGGUUUACCAUAUUGUCAUCAACCACCAGAAUUUUCUUGCCACAGAGUAGACUCCGGAGAAAAGAAGAUCCAUUCGGCACAUCUUUC